rnacentral:misc_RNA from 1 species
AAGUCGUAACAAGGUUUCCGUAGGUGAACCUGCGGAAGGAUCAUUAAUACGUUUGUAACAAAACGUUUAAACUCCAAACUGUCGUGAAACGUCUGUUACGGGUUUGCAUUUGUGGGGCACAAUGACUUGUUUGUUGUGCUUUAGAAAAGGAACUGUUAUGCAACUUGCAUACCAUCUCAAGUGUAGAGCAAUGAGAUGACAAACGCACUCGUGUGUCUGUGGUUCUGAAAUACGAAUGCUUACUCGGUUAAUUUUGCUCUACGAUUUUUCUAAAUCAAACUCUAUAAACCCCAUGUACAACAACUUGAACUAACAACCUUUUUUUUCAAACUCUGCCUUGCGGUAGAGCGAGAAAGAAAAAUAACCGACAUUAAGAACAACUCUUAACAACGGAUAUCUUGGUUCUC